GAUGAACGCUGGCGGCGUGCCUAAUACAUGCAAGUCGAGCGAACGGACGAGAAGCUUGCUUCUCUGAUGUUAGCGGCGGACGGGUGAGUAACACGUGGAUAACCUACCUAUAAGACUGGGAUAACUUCGGGAAACCGUAGCUAAUACCGGAUAAUAUUUUGAACCGCAUGGUUCAAAAGUGAAAGACGGUCUUGCUGUCACUUAUAGAUGGAUCCGCGCUGCAUUAGCUAGUUGGUAAGGUAACGGCUUACCAAGGCAACGAUGCAUAGCCGACCUGAGAGGGUGAUCGGCCACACUAGAACUGAGACACGGUCCAGACUCCUACGGGAGGCAGCAGUAGGGAAUCUUCCGCAGUGGGCGAAAGCCUGACGGAGCAACGCCGCGUGAGUGAUGAAGGUCUUCGGAUCGUAAAACUCUGUUAUUAGGGAAGAACAUAUGUGUAAGUAACUGUGCACAUCUUGACGGUACCUAAUCAGAAAGCCACGGCUAACUACGUG
rnacentral:rRNA from 1 species